GUGCGCCUGCCGGCCAGGAGGAGAAGGUAGGGGGCGGGGGCGAGCGGCGGGGGACGGCCAAAUUCCUCCCAGCGCAGGACUGAGGAGCUUGGAUUUGAUCCAUUGGGAGCUAGGGAGCCAUGGGAAGACCGCGAGAGACUAUCCCGAUGGGAUUUGUGUGUUUGGAAGAGCCUUGGGUGGAAACUAGGAAGACUGAUGCUCGUGUCCCAGUGUCUGGCAUUUAUUGAGCACCUAACCUACACCAGGCACUGUGCGGGUUCCUGAGGGGUCACAAUGCCUGCCAUCCUGGGCCACAAUGCUGAGAGGCAGAGAGAGACUUUCAAGAGACAGAGAGCAAGUAGGGGGAGCAGCAGGAAGAGAAAGAGGGAGAAGCCGGCUCCCUGCUGAGCAGAGGCUCUAUCCCAGGACUGCAAGAUCAUGACCCGAGCCAAAGGCAGACGCUCAACCAACUGAGCCACCCAAGAGUCCAUGAAUGUAUUUUUAUUGUGAAAUAAAGUGCAUACACACACAGAGUCUGAUCCAGGAACCCACACAAAACAAAUAUAUUGCCUCUGGAGGUACUGAAGAGGACAUUCCCAACCAGGGGUAAUUUUGUUCUUAGGGGACACCGAACAAUAUCUGGGAGACACUUUUGGAUUGUCAUGGGGGGGGGGGGAAGAGCUGUUAUUGUCAUCUAGUGGGUGGAGGUCAGGGAUGUUGCCAAACAUCCUGUGAUACACAAAGCACCCCCCCCCCCCAAGAAUGAUCUGGCCUGAAUGUCAAAAGAGCUGAGUUUGAGAAACCCAGCUCGCAGGUGAACAUCAUGAUAACCCCCACCCUGGUCCACAUGUAGCAUGUCAUCAGCAACCCCAGAAGUCCCUCCAUGCCCCACGUCCCGGUCCCAGUGACUCUUCUCUCCACAAAGUAACCAACUGUUGUGACUUUGAUAAUAAUCCCUGCUUUGUGUUUUUGAAUAGUCUGUCACCCAAGCAGGGUCUGCAAACAUGGUAGUUUUGUCUUGCACAUCCAAAAAGGAAAUGAUAUGUCUUUUAAGUCUCUUUUAAUUCGCAGUGUUCCCCGUCACCCCAUUCCUUCCCUUCCAAUAAAUCAAUCGCUUAACUCA